CCUACGGGAGGCAGCAGUGAGGAAUAUUGGUCAAUGGCCGAGAGUCUGAACCAGCCAAGUCGCGUGAGGGAAGACGGCCCUACGGGUUGUAAACCUCUUUUGUCGGGGAGCAAAGCGAGUCACGUGUGACUCAUUGCGCGUCCCCGAAGAAAAAGCAUCGGCUAACUCCGUGCCAGCAGCCGCUGUAAUACGGAGGAUCCGAGCGUUAUCCGGAUUUAUUGGGUUUAAAGGGAGCGUAGUUGGAUUGUUAAGUCAGUUGUGAAAGUUUGCGGCUAAACCGUAAAAUUGCAGUUGAGACUGGCAGUCUGGAGUACAGUAGAGGUGGGCGGAAUUCGUGGUGUAGCGGUGAAAUGCUUAGAUAUCACGAAGAACUCCGAUUGCGAAGGCAGUUCACUGGACUGCAACUGACACUGAGGCUCGAAAGUGUGGGUAUCAAACAGGAUUAGAUACCCUUGUAGUC
rnacentral:rRNA from 1 species